CGUUCUUCUGAAGAAGACAGAUGCGAGUCGGCUAAGCGUAUGUAAGUGAACCGAACUGAACGGAUGCUGAACCCACAGAAAGCUGUUUAUCUGGGAGGCGAUGUGUUCCAUCCACCAGAUGGGAACACUGGGGCAGCCUACUUCCACUGUAGGGGUUUUGGUGAGGGCUGGUCCAGAUGAUUGUGUUAACUUUAGAAUCACAAAACUGUAAGAGUGAAGAAGAGACCUCCAGGAUUCCUUGGUCCGAUUACAAUGACAGCUCCUUCGCAGCAACCUUCACAACCUGCACCAGUCACUGUGGAAACCAGUCACACUCCCUCAGCUACUCUCACAACCCCACAAACAAGGUAUGCUCUACUUAACUAAAGUCAUC